rnacentral:rRNA from 1 species
UGGGGAAUAUUGGACAAUGGGCGAAAGCCUGAUCCAGCCAUGCCGCGUGUGUGAAGAAGGUCUUCGGAUUGUAAAGCACUUUAAGUUGGGAGGAAGGGCAGUAAGCGAAUACCUUGCUGUUUUGACGUUACCGACAGAAUAAGCACCGGCUAACUCUGUGCCAGCAGCCGCGGUAAUACAGAGGGUGCAAGCGUUAAUCGGAAUUACUGGGCGUAAAGCGCGCGUAGGUGGUUCGUUAAGUUGAAUGUGAAAGCCCCGGGCUCAACCUGGGAACUGCGUCCAAAACUGGCGGGCUAGAGUAGGGCCGAGGGUGGUGGAAUUUCCUGUGUAGCGGUGAAAUGCGUAGAUAUAGGAAGGAACACCAGUAGCGAAGGCGACCACCUGGGCUCAUACCGACACUGAGGUGCGAAAGCGUGGAGAGCAAACAGG